AAAAAUUACCAGUAUGUUAUAAGUGUGGUAAAAUAGAACAUUAUAAACACCAAUGUAAAUUAAAGAAAAAAAUAGAGUCAUUAAAUUUAGAUGAGACAAUCAAAUCAAAAUUAAAUACUAUAAUAGCUUAUGAUUCUUCCUCCUCUACUUCUAGUGAAUCUUAUAUAGAAGAUCUAGACAGUAAUGAUCUUGAUUUUAUAGAAACAGAUAGUUCUUCCACUCAAACCAAUACAGAAU
rnacentral:lncRNA from 1 species